rnacentral:rRNA from 1 species
GAGCGGAGAUGAGGUGCUUGCACCUUAUCUUAGCGGCGGACGGGUGAGUAAUGCUUAGGAAUCUGCCUAUUAGUGGGGGACAACAUUUCGAAAGGAAUGCUAAUACCGCAUACGCCCUACGGGGGAAAGCAGGGGAUCUUCGGACCUUGCGCUAAUAGAUGAGCCUAAGUCGGAUUAGCUAGUUGGUGGGGUAAAGGCCUACCAAGGCGACGAUCUGUAGCGGGUCUGAGAGGAUGAUCCGCCUCACUGGGACUGAGACACGGCCCAGACUCCUACGGGAGGCAGCAGU